AGGGGAUUCUGGCAAAAAUUUCCCACCAUUGCGAACACUGCUGUAAACUCCACCAGUGACAGGACGUCCAGAUUCUGAAAGGCACUUAGCUGACAGAAGACACAGCCAACCUUCAGGAAAUCUCACUGAAACUAACUUGCUUCAUAUGGACCUGUAUUAAAGGCAUGAAGUCUCUCAAGAAAGACGGAGGAGGAGAAUGGAAGGAUGGAAGAAGCGCUGGAAGAGCCAACUGUUGGACUUGAAGACAUUACUGCAAAAUAAGAGGUGAUCUUCUUCAGCAAUGGAAUUGAUAAGAG